rnacentral:misc_RNA from 1 species
UUACCCAAGUUUGAGGUAA